AUUGAACGCUGGCGGCAUGCUUUACACAUGCAAGUCGAACGGCAGCGCGGGCUUCGGCCUGGCGGCGAGUGGCGAACGGGGGAGUAAUGCAUCGGAACGUGCCCAGUAGUGGGGGAUAGCCCGGCGAAAGCCGGAUUAAUACCGCAUACGACCUGAGGGUGAAAGCGGGGGACCGAAAGGCCUCGCGCUAUUGGAGCGGCCGAUGUCGGAUUAGCUAGUUGGUGGGGUAAAGGCUUACCAAGGCGACGAUCCGUAGCUGGUCUGAGAGGACGACCAGCCACACUGGGACUGGGACACGGCCCAGACUCCUACGGGAGGCCGCAGUGGGGAAUUUUGGACAAUGGGGGCAAACCUGGUCCAGCCAUGCCGCGUGCGGGAAGAAGGCCUUCGGGUUGUAAACCGCUUUUGUUCGGGAAGAAAUCCUUUGGGCUAAUACCCCGGGGGGAUGACGGUACCGGAAGAAUAAGCACCGGCUAACUACGUG
rnacentral:rRNA from 1 species